CUUUUAAGAACAAUUUUGCACUUUACACCACAAAGGAAGCGGCAUGUAAUUUUGUCCUCUAUUCUCUCUUCUUUUAUGUGUUCUCAUUCCUGGAAUUGAAUCAUCAGAGUGGACAGAAGGGCUUAGUGAUUUCAGCCUGGACACAAAUUAAACAAUUAACCAGAGAUUCACAACCAUCGGGGGCUGCUUUGUCUUCCUGUUUGCCAUUUUGUCCUAUUGGGAAACAAACAAGUAGGAGAAAGAUCCAAUUACCUUCUUCAAGAGGAGAGGCAAUUCUCUUUAACGUGAUUGUCUCAGAUCUGCCACAUUAGAAGGUCAACGCCAAAUGAUGCUUCCUGGUACCUCCUGUCUGUCUGUGCAUCCAACAGGAAGAGCUAACAAGACAGAGCGUUCCUGCACUUAUACAAAAGCGAUACAAGACAACACAUCUGAUACAGGAAUGGAAAUCCAACCCUUGUCAUGAUAAAACAAUGCAGUUUUGCGAUGGAGAUUUGUUCAGCCAGACGGCGCCAUGAUGGGUGUGCUGGAGUGUGAUAAUUCAAGAGCUGCAGGGGAGGACUGUGAUUUAUGGGAUAUCCUUUAUGCGUUACAAAAUGUGUUCUUUCGAAAGCCCACCCCCAACAAUUCAUAUGAGUCAUUUCCCUAAUUGAUAGUUGCCUGGAAACUCUAUGAGAGGGGCUGAAAAAGACUAAUAAUGUACAAAAUAUAGUGUGUGUUGAUCAAGACCAGUAAAACGAAAUGUUACAGUUUCAUCGACUUGCUUGAGACUAUUGAUUUUGAAUUGAUAUGGGUUUACACACUACACUGUGCCUGCGAGGUCACUCAUAAUGAAGUAUGGAUUAACAAUGAUGUUUUAAAACAAUGCCAUAUCUUUUGUACAGAUAUCAGGUGUGAUGUCACCGCACCUAAUGCGUUUCAAAUGACGCAAAUGUACAGCGCUACAUCCAGAUUAUUAUAGGCUCUAUUUGAGUGCUGUCUCAAUUCCCAUCAUAAAAGCUAUUGAUUACUCCCUACUUACACUCUCACGCUUGUGCUCAGCCACUGGGAUAUUGGCAUUAAUUUCUCCAAGU
ensembl:lncRNA